rnacentral:rRNA from 1 species
GACGUAGGGGGCCAGCGUUGCUCGGAAUUACUGGGCGUAAAGGGUUCGUAGGCGGUGUGGCAAGUCGGGAGUGAAAUCUCUGGGCUUAACUCAGAGGCUGCUUCCGAAACUGCCGUGCUAGAGUGCGGGAGAGGCGAGUGGAAUUGCAGGUGUAGCGGUGAAAUGCGUAGAUAUCUGCAGGAACACCAAUGGCGAAGGCAGAUCUCUGGGCCGUAACUGACGCUGAGGAGCGAAAGCAUGGGGAGCGAACAGG